rnacentral:rRNA from 1 species
GACGAACCGUGCGAACGUUGUUCGGAAUCACUGGGCUUAAAGGGUGCGUAGGCGGGUCUUUAAGUCAGGGGUGAAAUCCUGGAGCUCAACUCCAGAACUGCCUCUGAUACUGAGGAGCUCGAGUCCGGGAGAGGUGAGUGGAACUGCGAGUGUAGAGGUGAAAUUCGUAGAUAUUCGCAAGAACACCAGUGGCGAAGGCGGCUCACUGGCCCGGUACUGACGCUGAGGCACGAAAGCGUGGGGAGCAAACAGGG